rnacentral:rRNA from 1 species
CAGCCGCCGCGGUAAUACAGAGGGUGCGAGCGUUAAUCGGAUUUACUGGGCGUAAAGCGUGCGUAGGCGGCUAUUGAGUCGGAUGUGAAAUCCCCGAGCUUAACUUGGGAAUUGCAUUCGAUACUGGUUAGCUAGAGUGUGGGAGAGGAUGGUAGAAUUCCAGGUGUAGCGGUGAAAUGCGUAGAGAUCUGGAGGAAUACCGAUGGCGAAGGCAGCCAUCUGGCCUAACACUGACGCUGAGGUACGAAAGCGUGGGGAGCAAACAGGAUUAGAUACCCCUGUAGUCCCUGUCUCUUAUACA